UAUUGAGGUCCAGUUUACAUCCAGUAC
rnacentral:piRNA from 1 species